CCAAAAUUAAUCAAAAGAUUGAUUGAUUCCAUCAAACCGUCUGAAUCGGAUUUUCCCCUUCGUUUUCUCCCUUUUCCUCCCUCCAUAAAUCCUUUUCUUUGAUCAUUUACUGCACACUUUAUCUAGGGUUCCUUUCUUCGUCCUCUUCCCAUUCCUCUCCCACUUCUCUCUACCAACUUACUUCUAUAUCUUCUUUUCCGUCUCCAUCAGUUCAAAACCCUUCAGAUGGCGAAUUUCACUUUCUCUUCAUCGUCAUUAUCUGGAUAUCCCAUAAUUUCAGCUGCUGCUGGCGGCGGCAGUUCUUCUUCAGGAGCUGCUUUUGACGAUGAUUUUGAGGAAGCUUGCAGUAUCUGCCUUGAGCCUUUCACUACACAAGACCCUUCCACUGUCACUGGCUGCAAACAUGAAUACCAUCUUCAAUGUAUUCUUGAAUGGUCACAAAGAAGCAAAGAGUGCCCAAUCUGUUGGCAGAUGCUUGUCCUCAAGGAGCCUGCCUGCCAAGAACUUCUAGCUGCUGUUCAGACAGAGAGGCGUUUAAGGUCAAGGAGUACAUCUGCUGCUACAUCUGCAAACCAACUUCAUUUUCAUGAGGAUUUUGAUGCAGAACAGGAUUUCUACUCCAAUGAUUCUGAUUUCGAUGAUCGAAUUAUGCAACAUAUAGCUGCUGCAAGUAGAGCUCAUUACAUUAACAGAAGGGAGAGGCAGAGGUAUUCUGAUCAGGGUCCCUCCCAGUUUCUCUUCUUUACCUCUCCUGCAAAUGGACCUAAUGCUCAGCAGAUACAAACAUCUGCUGAAGAAGGCCUAGAUAUAAAUAAUGGGUCAUUAGGGAGUAAUUCACCGACUCCUGUCAUGGUAUCACAACCUCUGGCAUCUUUGGUCCCUCCUGUUGUGAAUGUAGUAUCUGGUACUGCUGUCAACAGAGAUGUUCCUUCUAAAGCCAGGGUUUUCUUUGGACAGCUUCCAACUGAUUCUCCCCGAUCACCAUCUGAGGCAGCAUCUCUGUCUGAGUCCAUUAAAUCUAAAUGGCUUGCUGCUUCAGCCAGAUAUAAGGAAUCAAUCUCUAAAGGUACCCGAGGAAUAAAGGAAAAACUACUUGCACGCAAUAGUUCUGUUAAGGAGCUCGGCAAAGGAGUUCAGCGGGAGAUGAGUGCAGGAAUUGCUGGUGUUGCGCGAAUGAUUGAGCGGUUAGAUUUUACCUCAAAAAGAACUGGAGCCUCCAAUCCAGUUUCUGGUUUUAGGGCAGGAGCACCAGACCUCUCCAAGGGUAUACAAGAGAACAUUAUUGCUCAAGCACUUAAGAGAGAACGUGAGGAAAUUGCAAAUUGUGCAAGUGUAGAUGCAUCAUCUCAUGCUUUCUGCACUGUACCAGGCCAAAUGGAAGCUCCCCACCCAUGUACAGGUUGAGAAAUCUUGACUUUUACUGCUAAAGGAUAUUCUUCCGCCAUCUAAUAGCAUCUAAAAGCAUAACCAGAUUUCUUUACUCAAAAAGAAGAAAGUAAUUGAGGCUGUGGAGCUUAAGCCUGGUUGCUAACUCUCUUUUGACCUUUCCUUACGAAGGGGCAAGUGAUGCAAGUGACGUGCUGUGAAGAAACCAAUUCCCCUGUUGGUUUGCGUCCUGCAUUGCUUAUUUUAUGCACAGUGAGGACCUUAGUUUCUUGUAGGAAUUAUUGUCCCAGUGAACGAAGUGUUUUUUUUGUCAUGAACAACUUUUUGAGGAGUUUACGAUAGCAUUCUCCUCGUAAAUUUGCCUAUAUGGAUCGCUUUCGAAUUAUGAAAAGGAACUGUCCUACUCUGGCAAUGCUCAGUACAUAUUUCUACUUGUAUGUGAUAUGUUCACCGCCGUUUUAUUUCUACUCUGGCAAUAUUCACUGCU